rnacentral:rRNA from 1 species
CAGCCGCCGCGGUAAUACGUAGGUGGCAAGCGUUGUCCGGAAUUAUUGGGCGUAAAGGGCUCGCAGGCGGUUUCUUAAGUCUGAUGUGAAAGCCCCCGGCUCAACCGGGGAGGGUCAUUGGAAACUGGGAAACUUGAGUGCAGAAGGGAGAGUGGAAUUCCACGUGUAGCGGUGAAAUGCGUAGAGAUGUGGAGGAACACCAGUGGCGAAGGCGACUCUCUGGUCUGUAACUGACGCCGAGGAGCGAAAGCGUGGGGAGCGAACAGGAUUAGAUACCCCCGUAGUCCCUGUCUCUUAUACA